UGCAUUUUAAAAUCCUAGCACUAUAUUUAUUGUUGUUAGCUCAUUCUUAGAAGUUAACAAAACUUAAGCUAAAAAUAAAUGAAAAAUUAAGAAUUACUAACUACCAAGAACUUAUGUUGUUAUUUGGGCAUUAAUUUGUCAGCCUUAAUGCACCCCUUUAUCAAUAACCACCAUUACUUGCUCUUCUUGACCAAUCCCAAAACAGGGGAAACAAAGAACAUGAUAUUGCUGAAAAUAAAGCGAGGCUAAGAAAAAAAUUCUUCUUCCGAUACUAAUAACAAAUUCCAAGACCUGCACAAUUAUAAGGUCACGCAUGGCAAUUCUUAAGGUAUAAGAGCUAGCCACUCCUAGUUUUUGAAUCAGAGGAAUUUGAUGGAAUGGAAGCUUUUCCUGAAUGUUUUGGACCUUUCAACUGUUCAGCUAUAGAAUCUUCACAAUUGCAAGAUCUAAAUAUAUCUUCCCACGGCACACGAGCCAUGAAAUGCCUCACCUUAUUAGAAGAACUUAUUUGUCAUUGCCCCUAAUUAAAGGAAAAAUGUGCAAAGGGGGGCAGUGCAGAGUGGUCCAAGAUUUGCCAUAAUCCAAAUUUCUGCAUCAAUGAAAUGGAUAUGGAAGCAGUGGGAGUGGCCCGUUAGUAGAAUAUUGUUGAUAGUCCAGGAGUCACAAUAGAGGGAAUUCUAAAUUGAUUCCAUUGCAAUUAUGUCAUCAAAAGUUUCAAAGCAAUAGGUGAGGCCAUGGAUUUUCCUGUGCUUAUGGAAUAGUUGCUUCUAUCAAAUGACUUCAACAGCUUAUUGGAUCAUGCGUUAGACAUCUAUAGUGACCAUUCUGAUUGCACUAGAUCAUGCAAUUGUUCGGCGGAUAGAUCCCACUCACUUACAUAUAAGGAAAAUGCAAUUGAGACAAUGUCUAUUGUUUCCAGCUGGAGGAACAAUUUAUUAUAAUUGCUAGCAGACGUACAAGGAGGAAGCUAGAAUGGGGGCAGCUUUGAGUAUGAAUUUGACAAAUUCGAGGCAGUUGGCCCUAAGUGGAGGAGAGCUAUGCAUAACAAAAGGCAAACCUCAAGUGUAUCCAAGCUUUGUUAAAAAGUCUGCUUCCUUGUUCCCUUCACAGUAGGAAUGAUUUAGCUGGAGAUGGGGAUAUCAAGCUUGUGAGGGGCCAGCAUAAAACUUUGUUGAAGUAACAGUAUCAGUGAAGUCAUGGAUGUAUGGAUGAUCCUAUAAUAAAAUUCGUUCCUUUUCUUAAUUAAAAAAAGUGCUAGUUGAGCUACUAAGCUCCUGGCAUGUUGGUGAAUUGUUUGUUUAAUGUAGAAGUGGAAUUAAUUUAUGACUCUGCUGAUAAUCUGGUUGAUAUGAACAAAUUUGGGUGAAGAGUUGGAUGGGGAAAACCAAGAAUCUCAUGAGGACUAGACCAAUUUGUAACUUUACCUUUCUUCCAACCUUUGGUC